rnacentral:rRNA from 1 species
AUGAGGAUUGAAGAAAUUAAUGAUCAUUCAGUCAUUGAGGAUUUCAUAAGAGACAUCAAUGUUCCAGUAGAGGUGUUAUUGAAGUUGUGGCUGAAUAGUCCUUUUAUUGAUGCUAAGUAUAUGAGGCAACCUCAUUUUUGGACCAAAAAGAGGGGUGAUGACGAUGAUGACUGGCUGAAACAAUCAUGUCUAGAGCAAUCAAGACAGCCUUGGCUUGUGGGACUAAAUAGAGCUGAAAAAGUCUAUUUCAACACACACGAACCCAUUGACCUCCCAUGUUCCUGGGGAGCGUUGCAUGUCGGAAAAGUUAGGGGUUGUGUCACACAAAGUUCUGCAUUGACACUUAGAAAGGCACCAUAA